UCAGGUCCAGUACCAUCUUAUAUACAGCCUCAGGUCCAGUACCAUCUUAUAUACAGCCUCAGGUCCAGUACCAUCUUAUAUACAGCCUCAGGUCCAGUACCGUAGUAUAUACAGCCUCAGGUCCAGUACCAUCUUAUAUACAGCCUCAGGUCCAGUACCAUAUUAUAUACAGCCUCAGGUCCAGUACCAUCUUAUAUACAGCCUCAGGUCCAGUACCAUCUUAUACAGCCUCAGGUCCAGUACCAUCUUAUAUACAGCCUCAGGUC